rnacentral:rRNA from 1 species
GUCUAAGGCCAUGCCAUCCUGAACAAGCCCGAUGUCUGAUCUCGGAAGCUAAGCCUGGUUAGGCCUGGUUAGUACUUGGAUGGGAGACCACCUAGGAAGACCAGGUGCUGUAGGCA